rnacentral:rRNA from 1 species
AUUUAACUUGGUAAUGGACAGGUUACUUAGAACCUUACCCAGCGAAAUUGGUGCCAAAGUCGGAAAUGCCAUUACUAACGCGGCCGCGUUUGCAGAUGAUUUGGUACUAUUUGCGGAAACUCGGAUGGGGCUUCAAGUAUUGUUGGACAAGACGUUGGAUUUUCUAUCUAUCGUCGGCCUCAAACUUAAUGCCGACAAAUGUUUUACCGUUGGCAUUAAGGGCCAGCCGAAACAGAAGUGUACCGUGUUAGAGGCACAGAGCUUCUACGUAGGCUCGAGUGAGAUUCCAUCACUGAAGCGCACGGACGAGUGGAAGUACUUAGGCAUCAACUUCACUGCAACCGGGAGGGUUCGAUGCAAUCCGGCCGAGGACAUUGGUCCAAAGCUACAAAGAUUGACAAAGGCCCCCCUCAAACCACAACAGAGGUUGUUCGCCCUUCGGACUGUCCUUAUCCCACAGCUCUACCACAAGUUAGCCCUUGGGAGUGUGGCGAUAGGCGUCCUAAGAAAAACUGAUAAACUUAUAAGAUAUUAUGUGCGAAGAUGGCUAAAUCUUCCGCUGGAUGUGCCGAUAGCAUUUGUUCAUGCACCCCCAAAAAGUGGAGGUCUCGGAAUUCCAUCACUAAGAUGGGUAGCUCCAAUGUUAAGGCUAAGACGCUUGAGUAACAUUAAAUGGCCUCACCUCACGCAAAACGAGGUAGCCAGCUCUUUCCUCGAAGCCGAAAAACAACGGGCCCGAGAUAGAUUAUUAGCUGAACAAAAUGAACUGUUAUCGCGUCCGGCAAUAGAAAAAUAUUGGGCGAACAAGUUGUACCUCUCAGUUGAUGGUAGCGGACUCCGUGAAGCGGGCCAUUAUGGCCCGCAACACGGGUGGGUUAGUCAACCCACGCGUUUAUUAACAGGAAAGGAAUAUAUAGACGGUAUUCGUCUGCGGAUAAAUGCCCUACCCACAAAGUCUCGUACUACAAGGGGAAGGCACGAAUUGGAACGACAGUGUCGUGCAGGAUGUGAUGCUCCCGAAACAACAAACCACAUAAUGCAAAAAUGCUACCGCUCGCAUGGGAGGCGGGUAGCUAGACACAACUGCGUAGUAAAUCGAAUCAAGCGGGGACUUGAGGAGAGAGGCUGCGUGGUCAUUGUUGAACCAAGUCUGCAGUGCGAAUCCGGCCUUAAUAAACCAGACCUGGUGGCACUACGACAAAAUCACAUUGAUGUGAUCGACAUACAAAUUGUGACAGACGGACACUCUAUGGAUGAUGCGCACCAGCGCAAAAUCAAUAGAUACGACAGACCGGACAUACGAACUGAAUUGCGUCGCAGAUUCGAAGCCGCAGGUGACAUUGAAUUCCAUUCUGCCACCCUGAACUGGAGGGGGAUCUGGAGUGGUCAAUCCGUUAAAAGAUUGAUAGCAAAGGGUCUCCUCAGCAAAUAUGAUAGUCAUAUCAUUAGCGUCCAGGUUAUGAGAGGCAGUCUCGGUUGUUUUAAACAGUUCAUGUACCUGAGCGGGUUUUCCCGAGAUUGGACUUAGCUAAAUCGUUUGGUUCAAAACAUUUGCUUGCUGUCUUGGCAUAACAUCAAUAAAGGCAUAAACAUCGCAAAAUAAUGGUUAUAAUUAAAUGGCUAUGAGGAUGGUUUUAGUACGUAGGCGUUGCGGAACUUCGGUUCAUAUAGAGCAAUGAAUCGUGCAUGCUAGGAAAACUGACCACACACAGUGUUGGCAGACCUAGUAUCUUUCGAAGAUUUCCAUACCUCCGCGAUCAAAAAAAAAAAAAAAAAAAAUAGCCAAAUGCCUCGUCAUCUAAUUAGUGACGCGCAUGAAUGGAUUAACGAGAUUCCUACUGUCCCUAUCUACUAUCUAGCGAAACCACAGCCAAGGGAACGGGCUUGGAAUAAUUAGCGGGGAAAGAAGACCCUUUUGAGCUUGACUCUAAUCUGGCAGUGUAAGGAGACAUAAGAGGUGUAGAAUAAGUGGGAGAUAUUAGACCUCGGUUUGGUAUCGUCAAUGAAAUACCACUACUCUUAUUGUUUCCUUACUUACUUGAUUAAAUGGAACGUGUAUCAUUUCCUAGCCAUUAUACGGAUAUAUUUAUUAUAUCUUAUGGUAUUGGGUUUUGAUGCAAGCUUCUUGAUCAAAGUAUCACGAGUUUGUUAUAUAAUCGCAAACAAAUUCUUUAAUAAAACGAUGCAUUUAUGUAUUUUUGAUUUGAAAAUUUGGUAUAACUCCAAUUACUCAGGUAUGAUCCAAUUCAAGGACAUUGCCAGGUAGGGAGUUUGACUGGGGCGGUACAUCUCUCAAAUAAUAACGGAGGUGUCCCAAGGCCAGCUCAGUGCGGACAGAAACCACACAUAGAGCAAAAGGGCAAAUGCUGACUUGAUCUCGGUGUUCAGUACACACAGGGACAGCAAAAGCUCGGCCUAUCGAUCCUUUUGGUUUAAAGAGUUUUUAACAAGAGGUGUCAGAAAAGUUACCAUAGGGAUAACUGGCUUGUGGCGGCCAAGCGUUCAUAGCGACGUCGCUUUUUGAUCCUUCGAUGUCGGCUCUUCCUAUCAUUGUGAAGCAAAAUUCACCAAGCGUUGGAUUGUUCACCCAUGCAAGGGAACGUGAGCUGGGUUUAGACCGUCGUGAGACAGGUUAGUUUUACCCUACUAAUGACAAAACGUUGUUGCGACAGCAUUCCUGCGUAGUACGAGAGGAACCGCAGGUACGGACCAAUGGCACAAUACUUGUUCGAGCGAACAGUGGUAUGACGCUACGUCCGUUGGAUUAUGCCUGAACGCCUCUAAGGUCGUAUCCGUGCUGGACUGCAAUGAUAAAUAAGGGGCAAUUUGCAUUGUAUGGCUUCUAAACCAUUUAAAGUUUAUAAUUUACUUUAUAAACGACAAUGGAUGUGAUGCCAAUGUAAUUUGUAACAUAGUAAAUUGGGAGGAUCUUCGAUCACCUGAUGCCGCGCUAGUUACAUAUAAAAGCAUUAUUU